ACACUCCUACGGGAGGCAGCAGUGGGGAAUAUUGCACAAUGGGCGCAAGCCUGAUGCAGCCAUGCCGCGUGUAUGAAGAAGGCCUUCGGGUUGUAAAGUACUUUCAGCGGGGAGGAAGGCAAUACGGUUAAUAACCGUGUUGAUUGACGUUACCCGCAGAAGCAGCACCGGCUAACUCCGUGCCAGCAGCCGCGGUCAUACGGAGGGUGCAAGCGUUAAUCGGAAUUACUGGGCGUAAAGCGCACGCAGGCGGUCUGUCAAGUCGGAUGUGAAAUCCCCGGGCUCAACCUGGGAACUGCAUUCGAAACUGGCAGGCUUGAGUCUUGUAGAGGGGGGUAGAAUUCCAGGUGUAGCGGUGAAAUGCGUAGAGAUCUGGAGGAAUACCGGUGGCGAAGGCGGCCCCCUGGACAAAGACUGACGCUCAGGUGCGAAAGCGUGGGGAGCAAACAGGAUUAGAAACCCCUGUAGUCCC
rnacentral:rRNA from 1 species